GGCUUCUGCAUACAGCAGCACACACGUUGAGCUGGAGCUGCUGAAGACUCACCCCUUCCUGCUGCUGCCUGACACUUGGACCUGACAAUUGUCACAUUUGCUGCAUUCUGCCAUCAGCCCGAUCACAGCCUCCGUGCUCAGAACACCUCUGACCUGCUCCAAGAAAGUGAAUUUGAAAGGUUAUACAGUACCAGGUACCCUGGUAUUGGUAAACUUUGUGCACUGGGGAAGAAGCAAGAUCAAACCCACAGCAACGUCAUCCUCACCUCCCAUCAGAGAGGCUCAUAUGCAGGGAGAGCUCUGUAAUGCUGAGCUUCCUUCUCACCUGCAAAGCCUUUAUCCUUCCUGGAAUGUUGGUGUGAUUCUGAAAAGCCAGCUUCCAAACUCAAGAAGAAAUUGUCCUUUGGGGUAACAUAGAUGGAAGAAACAUCUUUAAGAACAUUAGCAUGGAUAAACUCAGACUAUGGAUUCCUCCAAGCAAUCUAUCAAAGAUACAGAUUGGAAGAUUUUUCCUUGCCAGAGAGAAGUUCACUGACCUUUAUUUCAGAUGUGGGAAAAGAAGAAGUUGGCAAUACCAAUUAUUUGUCAUUUGCAAAUGAUCCAUUAGAGACUAUUAUAUCAUGUUACAUCUGCACUAGUUUCACAUACAUCUUUUUGUGACAAAGCCCCAUGGCUCACAGGUGAGUUCUAGCAUAAAAUUAGUUUGAUUAAUUUGAAAGAAAUUGAAUAAAGAAAGCUUGUUCAUCUUCUUAUCAGUGGAAACCAACUAAGCAUUGGGAAGCUGCUCACUAUCUGAGCACAUUCCUCGCACUGGAGGAGAGAGAGAGCUCCUGUAAUUGGCAGAUUAUGGUUAUGUGGUGAUAUAAUUGAAGUCUUUGACCUAAGGAAUGUCAAAAAAGGAAUCUGAACUACAGAUGAAUAAUCAGUCGUACUUUGGCAUGCCAUGUUCCAGAAAGGUCUGGGGCUAGAUCAUACAAAGGAACAUUAAUGUAGGUUUUCUUGUUCUAGAUGAGUAUUGAUAAAUAGUCAUAGGGUAGAAAAAGAAGAAUUUCUUUUUUUGCUCAGUGCCACCAGUCCUCAUGUGUGCUACAGGAUCCUUGCCUCGGAGCAAUAGCUUGAAACAUUUUUACAGAAGAGUACCAUUAGAAAUGAAUUCAACAGCUCACAUUUUAUAUAUGUGUGCUUUAUAUCUGUAGCUGCCGUUAAUUUCAAAAGAUGAGAACUAAAACGGGCUAUUUUUUUUUUUCCUUUAAAUGUCAAAUGAAGAACUUAGUGCUUAGUUUUAGGAAAAUA